CCUACGGGGGGCAGCAGUGAGGAAUAUUGGUCAAUGGGCGCAAGCCUGAACCAGCCAAGUCGCGUGAGGGAUGACGGUCCUAUGGAUUGUAAACCUCUUUUGUCGGGGAGCAAGGCCCGCCACGUGUGGCGGGAAGGAGAGUACCCGAAGAAAAAGCAUCGGCUAACUCCGUGCCAGCAGCCGCGGUAAUACGGAGGAUGCGAGCGUUAUCCGGAUUUAUUGGGUUGAAAGGGUGCGUAGGCGGAAGGUUAAGUCAGCGGUCAAAUGUCGGUGCUCAACACCGGCCUGCCGUUGAAACUGGUCGUCUUGAGUGAGCGAGAAGUAUGCGGAAUGCGUGGUGUAGCGGUGAAAUGCAUAGAUAUCACGCAGAACUCCGAUUGCGAAGGCAGCAUACCGGCGCGCAACUGACGCUGAGGCACGAAAGCGUGGGGAUCGAACAGGAUUAGAUACCCUUGUAGUC
rnacentral:rRNA from 1 species